rnacentral:rRNA from 1 species
AUUGAACGCUGGCGGCAGGCCUAACACAUGCAAGUCGAAUGGUAACAGGAAACAGCUUGCUGUUUCGCUGACGAGUGGCGGACGGGUGAGUAAUGUCUGGGAAACUGCCUGAUGGAGGGGAUUACUUCCGGAAAACGGAGCUAAUAACGGAUAAACUUCUCAAGAGCAAGGAUGGGUACUUUCGGGCCGUUUUCCUUCAACUUUUCCCAGAUGGGAUUAGCUAGUAGGUGGGGUAACGGCUCACCUAGGCGACGAUCCGUAGCUGGUCUGAGAGGAUGACCAGCCACACUGGAACUGAGACACGGUCCAGACUCCUACGGGAGGCAGCAGUGGGGAAUAUUGCACAAUGGGCGAAAGCCUGAUGCAGCCAUGCCGCGUGUAUGAAGAAGGCCUUCGGGUUGUAAAGUACUUUCAGCGGGGAGGAAGGAAGUAAAGUUAAUACCUUUGCUCAUUGACGUUACCCGCAGAAGAAGCACCGGCUAACUCCGUG